AAUUUUCAUUCUUGGGCUACCAUAGGGUCUCAAAGGCAACGUAACCAAUCUGGCGAAUUUUAAUGUGAAAAAACUGAAACGCAAGCCUUAUAUUUGACGCUGUAACUUUUGAAAACACCAUAAAACCUGUACAUGAGGGUACUGUUGUACUCGGGAGACUUCGCUGAACACAAAUAUUUGUGUUUCAAAACAGUAAAAAGUAUCACAGCAAUAAUAUUGUCCGUGUAAUGCUGUUUGUGCGUGAAAAAUGCAAAAAACUUCACUUUUAC